rnacentral:rRNA from 1 species
UACAGAGGUCCCGAGCGUUGUUCGGAUUCACUGGGUUUAAAGGGUGCGUAGGCGGGCAUGUAAGUCCGUGGUGAAAUCUCCGAGCUUAACUCGGAAACUGCCAUGGAUACUAUGUGUCUUGAAUGUUGUGGAGGUGAGCGGAAUAUGUCAUGUAGCGGUGAAAUGCUUAGAUAUGACAUAGAACACCAAUUGCGAAGGCAGCUCACUACACAAAUAUUGACGCUGAGGCACGAAAGCGUGGGGAUCAAACAGG